rnacentral:rRNA from 1 species
UACGUAGGGGGCAAGCGUUGUCCGGAUUUAUUGGGCGUAAAGAGCGUGUAGGCGGCCCGGUAAGUCCGCUGUAAAAGUCAAAGGCUUAACCUUUGAAUGUCAGUGGAUACUGCCGGGCUAGAGUCCGGAAGAGGCGAGUGGAACUCCUGGUGUAGCGGUGGAAUGCGCAGAUAUCAGGAAGAACACCAACGGCGAAGGCAGCUCGCUAGGACGGUACUGACGCUGAGACGCGAAAGCGUGGGGAGCGAACAGG